rnacentral:rRNA from 1 species
UCUGCGAUUACUAGCGACUCCGACUUCACGUAGUCGAAUUGCAGACUACGAUCCGAACUGAGACUGGCUUUAAGGGAUUCGCUUACCCUCACGGGUUCGCCUCUCUCUGUACCAGCCAUUGUAGCAUGCGUGAAGCCCAAGACAUAAAGGGCAUGAUGAUUUGACGUCAUCCCCACCUUCCUCCGAGUUGACCCCGGCAGUCUCCUAUGAGUUCCCACCAUCACGUGCUGGCAACAUAGAACGAGGGUUGCGCUCGUUGCGGGACUUAACCCAACAUCUCACGACACGAGCUGACGACAACCAUGCACCACCUGUACACCAGCUCCAAAGAGAAGAACUGUUUCCAGAACGGUCCAGUGUAUGUCAAGCCUUGGUAAGGUUCUUCGCGUUGCAUCGAAUUAAUCCGCAUGCUCCGCCGCUUGUGCGGGCCCCCGUCAAUUCCUUUGAGUUUUAGCCUUGCGACCGUACUCCCCAGGCGGGGCACUUAAUGCGUUAGCUACGGCGCGGAGAACGUGGAAUGUCCCCCACACCUAGUGCCCAACGUUUACGGCAUGGACUACCAGGGUAUCUAAUCCUGUUCGCUCCCCAUGCUUUCGCUCCUCAGUGUCAGUUACAGCCCAGAGUCCCGCCUUCGCCACCGGUGUUCCUCCUGAUAUCUGCGCAUUUCACCGCUACACCAGGAAUUCCAGACUCCCCUACUGCACUCUAGUCAGCCCGUACCCACUGCACGCGCAACGUUAAGCGUUGCGUUUCCACAGCAGACGUGACCAACCACCUACGAGCUCUUUACGCCCAAUAAUUCCGGACAACGCUCGUACCCUACGUAUUACCGCGGCUGCUGGCACGUAGUUAGCCGGUACUUCUUCUGCAGGUACCGUCACUUUCGCUUCUUCCCUGCUGAAAGCGGUUACAACCCGAAGGCCGUCAUCCCGCACGCUGCGUCGCUGCAUCAGGGUUUCCCCAUUGGGC